AUUGAACGCUGGCGGCAGGCCUAACACAUGCAAGUCGAGCGGAGCGGCGGUCGGGUGAGUAAUGCCUAGGAAUCUGCCUGGUAGUGGGGGAUAACGUCCGGAAACGGGCGCUAAUACCGCAUACUAUCAGAUGAGCCUAGGUCGGAUUAGCUAGUGGGUGGGGUAAGGGCCUACCAAGGCGACGAUCCGUAUCUGGUCUGAGAGGAUGAUCAGUCACACUGGAACUGAGACACGGUCCAGACUCCUACGGUAGGCAGCAGUGGGGAAUAUUGGACAAUGGGCGAAAGCCUGAUCCAGCCAUGCCGCGUGUGUGAAGAAGGUCUUCGGAUUGUAAAGCACUUUAAGUUGGGAGGCGGUACCAACAGAAUAAGCACCGGCUAACUUCGUGCCAGCCGCCGCGGUAAUUC
rnacentral:rRNA from 1 species